AGAGUUUGAUCAUGGCUCAGAACGAACGCUGGCGGCGUGCCUAACACAUGCAAGUCGAGCGCGAAUGGAGCAAUCCUAGUAGAGCGGCGCACGGGUGCGUAACACGUGGGUAAUCUGCCUCAAAGACUGGAACAACCUGCCGAAAGGCUGGCUAAUACCAGAUAAGACUACGGGGUCUUCGGACCCUGAAGUAAAAGGUGGCCUCUGUAUACAAGCUAUCACUUUGAGAUGAGCCCGCGGCCCAUCAGCUAGUUGGCGGGGUAAUGGCCCACCAAGGCAACGAUCAGUAUCCGGCCUGAGAGGGCGACCGGCCACACUGGGACUGAGACACGGCCCAGACUCCUACGGGAGGCAGCAGUGGGGAAUAUUGCACAAUGGGCGGAAGCCUGAUGCAGCGACGCCGCGUGAGGGAUGACGGCCUUCGGGUUGUAAACCUCUUUCAGCAGGGACGAAGCCGUGAGGUGACGGUACCUGCAGAAGAAGCGCCGGCCAACUACGUGCCAGCAGCCGCGGUAAGACGUAGGGCGCGAGCGUUGUCCGGAUUUAUUGGGCGUAAAGGGCUCGUAGGCGGUUCGACAAGUCGGGUGUGAAACCUCCAGGCUCAACCUGGAGUCGCCGCUCGAAACUGUUGUGACUAGAGUCCGGUAGAGGAGCAUGGAAUUUGUGGUGUAGCGGUGGAAUGCGCAGAUAUCACAAGGAACACCAGUAGCGAAGGCGAUGCUCUGGGCCGGUACUGACGCUGAGGAGCGAAAGCAUGGGGAGCGAACAGGAUUAGAUACCCCCGUAGUCC
rnacentral:rRNA from 1 species